GUGAGUGUUGGCUUGCGGUAGUGUUGCGCCGGAGCCCUACCCUGCCGUGCCCUGCCUCGCCGUGCCCUGUCUGGCCUUCCCUUGCCGAUAGAAAAAAAGGGAAGGAAAAAUAAAAGAGAGUGAAAAAAUAAGAACCAAAGAAGGGGAGAGAAAAAAACCCCCGACUCCGAAUUGAAAAAAACCCCACCAACGAGAGAAAGAAAGAAAAAAAGAAAGAAAACAACCCGAGGAAAAAGUAAAAAAAAAACACGAAAA